rnacentral:rRNA from 1 species
ACUCCUACGGGAGGCAGCAGUGGGGAAUUUUGCGCAAUGGGGGAAACCCUGACGCAGCAACGCCGCGUGAGUGAUGAAGGCCUUCGGGUCGUAAAGCUCUGUCAAGAGGGAAGAAAUGUAUGGAGGCUAAUAUCCAUUCCGCUUGACGGUACCUUCAAAGGAAGCACCGGCUAACUCCGUGCCAGCAGCCGCGGUAAUACGGAGGGUGCGAGCGUUGUUCGGAAUUAUUGGGCGUAAAGCGCGUGUAGGCGGUUUAUUAAGUCUGAUGUGAAAGCCCCGGGCUCAACCUGGGAAGUGCAUUGGAUACUGGUAGACUUGAGUACGGGAGAGGGUAGUGGAAUUCCUAGUGUAGGAGUGAAAUCCGUAGAUAUUAGGAGGAACACCGGUGGCGAAGGCGGCUGCCUGGACCGAUACUGACGCUGAGAUGCGAAAGCGUGGGGAGCAAACAGGAUUAGAUACCCUGGUAGUCCACGCCGUAAACGAUGAGAACUAGGUGUUGCGGGUAA